CAACCCUCAAGCAUUGCUUGGUAUUGGAUGCCACCACUGUGGUGCGUCUCAAAAGUAUUGGCGGUGGCAUUCAGCUUCUAGCGUAGUAAAUCUUCUCGCCUUGGAGUUUGAGUGUCUGACUGCCAGAACCCCUAAAUUUAUCAAA
rnacentral:misc_RNA from 1 species